CCUACGGGGUGCUGCAGUAGGGAAUAUUGCUCAAUGGGGGAAACCCUGAAGCAGCAACGCAGCGUGGAGGAUGAAGGUUUUCGGAUUGUAAACUCCUUUUGUUAGAGAAGAUAAUGACGGUAUCUAACGAAUAAGCACCGGCUAACUCCGUGACAGCAGCCGCGGUAAUACGGAGGGUGCCAGAGUUACUCGGAAUCACUGGGCGUAAAGCGGGCGUAGGCGGGAUAGCAAGUCAGAUGUGAAAUCCUAUGGCUUAACCAUAGAACUGCAUUUGAAACUGUUAUGCUAGAGUGUGGGAGGGGUAUGUGGAAUUCGGGGUGAAGGGGUAAAAUGCUUAGAAAUAAGGAGGAA
rnacentral:rRNA from 1 species